UACUUGUAAAAGCAUUUUCAUUUCUCAGUUAAAAAAUAAUAACGGACAUAUUUGAUUGUUUUGCUUUACAUAAGAAAGCAUUAAUUUAUUUAAAACAAAACACUGCAGAUGGAGUUAAUACCAUCCAUGCACGUACAAGAAUCACACCUGGAUGAAUAAGAAAGCACGAAAGAAAUGAAAGGAAGGAAUAAAAAACACGAUAAUUGUGUAUAGGCCAUGAUCAGGCACAUUGGAAAUCACGGGGAACCUGCCUUGAGCAAACGUUGAGAAGGAGGGAGAGUGAGAUGGGAAGGUUGAGGUUGAUGCCUAAGAUGUUUGCUCUGAGGGCAGUGCAGAGGCACGCUGCAGCUUCAAGGUCAAGGAGACCAUCGAGGAGGCUGCAGCAAGGGGUAACUGGUGGUUGACCCAGUGUCACGUUCAGCAACCCGUUUAGAACAUUGGCACACACUCCUAGUUUGAGUGCAUCACGAGGGCAUGAGGCACCAGAGCCUCCAUUGCCUCCUGAACCACCCGAGCCACCUGAACCUCCGGAACCACCGUAACCUCCGUGCCUUGGCUUAGUGGCAGAGGCAAUGGCAAAGAAGAGGAUGUUGAGUGUGAGGAAAAGAACAACAAGGGAAGAAGGAGUUUUUGAAGCCAUCUUAAACUCUAGUAGUUGCUGAUAUUUUCUUACUUUCUUCAACUCGAAAAUAGGAUGCAACUAUGAGAGCUUAAGAGUGUUUGUAGGGAUGGAAGUUAUUAGCAAUCGGUGGUGGUUUAUAUAUGCUUAGAACUCCAAGUGGCGUCAAUUGUUUAAGAACUAAAAAAUGUUAAAUGAGUUUGGGAGAUGAUUCAGUUUUAGCUGGCGAACAAAGUCUAUCAAUUCUGCUUGCAUCUACCCACCACUACCUUAAGAUAAUAACUGUAAAAAAUUAUUUAGAGGAUAAUAAAAUAUAAUAAAUGAAUUAAAAAUUUAAAUUUUAAAUUUUUUUCAAGGUAUAAUUGAUUAGUUAAAAUUUAUCCAUAAGGCAAGCUUAAAUGAAAAUUUCCUUUUCAUUCUUCCUUAUCUCUAUGUUUCACUUGGUCCUUGCGUUGUUGUUGGUGUUUUUUUUUUUUUUUUUUUUUUAUUGACAAAUAUUUGUUUUUUUUUUUUUUUUUUUUGUUAAGACAUCAUUUACUUGUUUCAUACUUACAUUCCACUACUUAUACAACACCAAACUCAUUUAAGGUUAAAGCUUUGUCCGCUCAAAACCAUCUUUUUACAUCCAAGUUGGCAGAAGUUUCUUUUAAACUGAAGUUUAUUAUGGUUAUUUCUAUUUAAUAUAUCUAAAACCAUUUUUAUAUCAAGAAAAAUAAUUCUUUAACACACUUAACUUUUUAUAUUUAAUUGAUAUUACUUUCUUCUACUUUUUAUUCUCUUCUUUUUUUAAAAAAAUACAAAAUUUUAUACUUUUAUAACCAUUUUAUCCUUAUAUUUUGUGUCAAAUAAAUAUAAGAGUGUGACAUAGUACCUUUAUAUCAAUGUUGACUGGUGUUUUGAAAAAAAUAAAAUAAAACUAAUCUAUCUUAGUUGAAAUAAAUAUAAUUAAUAUCAAUAGAAAAUAAUUUCGACUAAAUAUAAAUCGGGUUGAAAUAGAUUGGAAUACCGUGGGAUAUUUGAUAAAAAAAAAAUAUUGAUUAAUAUAGGUUAAAAUAUAUUAUAACUAUAAAUGAUAUCUUAAAUUAUUAAAUGUGUUUAGUAUUAAAAUAUUUUCCUCAUUUAAUAAUAAUUAAAAUAUUUAAUAUACACACGAAAAUGAAUUUUUUUUACCUAUAAGUUAUUUUACCCAAAUACGAAAAAAGAUGCAUUUAUUUUAAUCACAGUGGAGAUUGUUAGGUUGUUCAAAAUAGUAUAUCUUGAAAAUCUCACAUUAUCUAGGAUAAGAAAUGAAGUAGGUGAUAGUAGCUAUAUAAUGGACUUAAGGUUUAUGAGUUUAGAUGUCUUAGUUAAAAACAAUUUAAGUUGGUAUUUGACUUUUCUUAUAGUAGAGGGUUGUGACAUUUAGUUAAAUUUCUAUUUUAGAGAAUGUGUGUAUUUGGGUCAAAAAGCAUGGGAGAGAGGUGUAUCUUUUGUAAAAUUUUUCACAUGGUAUUAUUCUCUCGUUUUCAUUAGAAAACAUUUGUGAUUUUUUCUUUGGUUUUGAAGUUUUUACAUUAUAUUCUUAUGUUGAUUAUUUUUAUCUUAAUUCUCUAUUAAUUGGGUAAUUCACAAAAUAAAAGACAUUGAUGCUUUUCAUGUAAUUUUUUUCAUAAUCUUUAAUUAAUGAAUAAGAUCAUUUGAACUUAUAACAAAAUUUACCUCAAUUUUUUCUUUUCUAAAAGUCCUAAUGGAGAAAUUUAUCGAAAAAUAUUCUAAAUAACUUUACUAUAAUUAAUUUUUAUUUUUAUCAUUCAUUUUAAUGAGUAAAUAUGUUUAACCGUGUAUUGAUAAUAACUAUCAUUCAUUUUCUUGAAAUUUAGUUUUCUUAAGAGCAAUGAUAAUAAAAAAAAAUGAGAUACCUUAUUUAUGAUUAUAACUAUUAUAAUUUUAUUAAUAUUUAAGAAUUCUAAUACAAACUUAACCUUAUUUAUCAAUUCUAUCUUUUAGAAUACAAUUGUUUUUUUGAAGAUUUAGAUUCGAUACAAUUCAUAGUGCUUACAAAUGAACCAAAUUAACUAGAUGUGAAUUCUUUUAUAAUGGAAUAACGCUCAAUCUGAUAUAGUGUUUUUUAAUCCACUAUCUACACGAAUUUGAUGAAUGAUUCACUUAAGUUCUCAUUUAUUAAGAACUCUAUUUUAUAUGUUUAUUAAGUUCUCAUAAUAUGAAGAAGGCAUAUUUUUUUUAAUAUUUUCAUUUUUAUUUAAAUAUUUUCCCCUCUCCAAAAUCCAUAAUACAGUAGAUAAUAAUUUUUAAACGCAAAGCUUCCUUUAAUAACCAUUUCACUUAAAAAAAUUAAAAAAUGAAUUAAAAUAGUACGUGCCAAUAUUAUAUACAUAAAACAUGGUUCAUUUCUAAAACUUAAAAAACGGAGAACGUUUUUAAGGUAAUUGAAUAAAAAUAUACUAAUUAUGCAUAAAAAGUAUAUGACUUUAUUUUUUUAUUUAUAAGUUUUAAAUUGAUAUUUUCUCCACAUAAAAGUGUAAAUUGGUUAUUUUUAUUUAACAUGAUAGUAUUUUCAAAGUUAUUUUCUAUUUUCUCUCUCUGCGUGUUGAAUGGGUCACCUACAAAUAAAUUGCAUGAGUGUGCCUGUAAUCAACUUCAAAAUAUUUACGUAAUUAAAUAGGUUUAUUCCAUAAGAUUGAUUGAUUUUUCAAUGUGGCAAAAUGGAUCUAUUUGUGGGCUAUUCAUCAUAGAUAGGUGGACUUAAAACUCUGAUCUUGUUGAAAGCCAGGUUUGCGGGUCAACCUUUCAGGUUUUUUUUAAUAAUUUUCUUAUUUUCUAAUAUAUAUCUAUAUAUCGAUAUAUAACAUAUGUAUAAUCUUUUAAUUAAAAAAAAUAUUCUAUUUGUAUAAUAAAUUAUUAUAUUUUAAUUAUUAUUAUUAUUAUUUUUAAAUAUUAAUUAUCUAAAUUAUAACAUUAUUGAAUAUUUGUAACUUUUUAAACGAUAUAAUAUAAAGAAUAAUUUUUUUAAAAAAAUCAUUUUAAUUUUUAAAUUAAAAAGUUUUGAUCAAUAAUUUAUCACUAACUUAUUAGAUUGAUAGGUUAAAUACGAUAAGUUAAAAUGCAUUAGUAAAGUAAAAAAUCAGUAUGGUUGAUUUAGACUAGAGAAAAAUAGCUUAUUUUCAUUUUUAUUAUAUCAUUUCUAGAAAAAAAUAAUUUAAAAUUUCCAAAUAAAAAUUUGGUUUCUUAUUUUAUUAUUAAUACUUACUAUACUUUUUUCAAUUUCCUUAAAGCAUUUUCUUUCGGAAUAUAAUAUUGGAUUAACGUUUUUAAAGUAAAACGAAUGAAAUGGUCAUUUAAAAAAAAAUAUCUAUAAAAGUUAUUAUUUAAUAUUUUUAUGAAUUCAGAUAGAGGAAUACGGCAUUUGAGUUUUUUUUUUCUCAAAAAAGUUAUAAUAUUUGAGAUGUACAUACAUUAUUAUUAUAAUUAAGUAUAAAAAUAAUAUGAAAAUGAAUAUAUAUGUCUGUAUAUUAGUGGAUAAUGCUAAUAAAGACAAUAGAACAUGUUACUUACAACAUGUGCACACGGCAAUAGCCUAAGAAAAAUUGUAGUUAGCAUAUAUAUAUAUAUAUUAAAAUGAUAUUUUAACAACUCUUUUUUAAUAACUUUUUGACAACAGGAUAUGUGUCAAAAUUCUAUUAAUUUGUUUGAAUUUAUUCUAAAAAAAUAUUUAUAACCGAACAAUCACAAACUGUUACGUAUGCAUUAUGAAAAAAUUGUCAAAAUAGAAUUGUUAAAAAGACUUUUUCCUACUAUAUUAUAUUAGUGAGAUGAGACAUUACAUACGUAUGACAUUUGAUAUUGAGAAAAUGAGAUGUUGGUGAAGAUGAUGGUGUAGUGGACCCACUUUGGUUAAACGAAACCCGUGACUCUCUUAUCUGUAAAUGCUUCGUAGAAAGAUUGGUAUUUCACAAAUUAAAAAAGUUUAGCACAAAAACUUCCAUCAUGUGACCCUAAAUAAUUAAUUUUUCUUUUAAAAGUAAUUAUUAGCAGUCUUACUCACUAGCUAAUCCGGAUUGAGGAAAGUUUAAGUCAAUAAUUAAGCUUCCAUCUCAAUUUAAUCAACACACGGGAAUAGAUUACGGACCCUUUCAUUUGUAGGCUUCUCUGCUUUCCUUUUCAACACAAUUAGAAAGAUUUCUUUCUCUUCUAUAGUGAUUCAUGUUUCAUAUUUUCUAUGGUUGAAAUUUUGUGAUUGUUAUGUUUAAUAUUUUCUAUGGUUCUAACAAUUUGUUCGUCUUAAACCAUUUUUAAUUUCACUUAAUCGCAAACUUAAUUUGAAAUUAAAUGUUUCUAACAAUUAUCAUAGAAAAAAUUCAAAAAUUAUUUUUAAAGGGUUGUGAAAGAUUUGCUAAUGAUAGCGAAAUCUAUUAUAAAUUACUGUCCCUAAAAUACCAUAAAUUUUAUUUUUAACGAAUUUUAUCAUGAAAUACUUAACAACCUACUAAUUUUAUCUCAAUAACGGCAGUCAUAAAUAUUUACUAAAUUAACAACUCUAUCGAAAUACAUAAUAUUAUAUCAAGUAUGUCUUAAAAAUUAUUUUUUAACACUAAAUCACUUUAUUAUAAUCUUGGUUUAUUUUUUAAAACUUUGGUUUCCAUUCAAAGAAGAAACUAAUGAAACAUUUUUCAUUUAAAAUAUUUUAUUUUUAAUUAGACAAAACUUGUAGAAAAAAUAGCUUUAUUUAAAUUAGUAGAACACUUUUCCCACGUUUUACCACCUACCUAUUCACUCAAUUUACUAUUUCUCCCAAAAUGUCCUCAUAUAAUUUGUUUUCCCUUUGACGUUUUUUAAUUGACUGUUUUUAUCAACUUUCUCAAAUUUAGGUGCAUUUGUCUUGCAUUUCGUGUACAUCAUUAUAACAUUGUGAGUGGUAAUUGUUCGAAGACUAAAUAUUUUUCACAUAAUUUCGUUUAUUUUAAAUUAUAUUUACUUUCAGUGAGUUCUUAAUUUACGUUUUAAUAGUUAAAAUACGUUUUGCUCUUUUGAAAAAUUUAAAAUUAUAUUUUAGUCCCUAUACUUUAUUUUAAAUUUUUAAUAUUUCAUUCUUUCAAGUACUGCAGCUAAAAGUACUGUAUUUUAAAAUCGAAAAGGUAUACAUUUUGUUGGAAAGAUUAAACAGUUAGAUGGAUUUAAAAAAUUAUUUAUUGUGCAUAGAACGGAUAAAUUUAAUUUUUCAUAAUUUUCAUAUUCUUAAGAAUAUCAAAAUUUAUCUAACUACUAAUUAAUCUUUUCAUUUAACUCUAUCAUAUCAAAAUAAGUUAAAACAGCCAGUAAAUCAUACAUAUUUUCUGUAAAAAAAUCUAUAGAAAAAUAUUUUAAAAGUUACCAUAAAAAAAUAAAGCAACUUCAAUACACUAAAGAAAUUGGACAAAAUUUAAUUUUGCAUUGUAUCUGUAUUCUUAAAGAAAUUAAAUCUCUAUCAAAAUUUAUUCAGCUCUCCCUACAAACAAAAGUAAAAUAAAAUAAUACCAAGUUAACAAAGUAAAUCAUAUAUACCUUCGGAAAAAAUCUAUAGAAAAAUCAUUUUAAAAUAUUCUACAACUUUGAUACACACUCUAAAAAAUUGGAUAAAUUCAAUUCUGCAUCACGUACAUAUUCUUAAGGAAUUAAAAUGUUAUAUCAAAAUUUAUCUAACUAAUAACAUGAUUUCUAAACUCUGUAAUUUAAACCAAACAAACAAUGAGUAUUUACAAUACCAAACCAAUAAAAUAAAUAACAAGGUUUCAUAUAAAAUCAACACAUAAAAAUUAUUUUAAAAGCUGUAACACAAAAAACUCUGCAACUUUGAUACACUCUAAACAAAUUGGAUAAAGUUAGUUUUGCUUCUUAUCGAUAUUAUAAGAAAUUAAAACUUAACUUUAAAAUGCAUCAUUAAUUGUUUAACUUGCUACAAGAAGAGGAGGAGAUUGUUUUCUUUAUCUAACUCUGCUACACAUGUCCAUUGUUUUCUUUAGCUAGCAAAACUUGAGCUAAGGAAUCUUGCUUUGAUAUAUCGUUUGAGGUAUUUUCACUAGGUUCAUAAACUUCAAUUUUUAUUUUUUUUUACUUUCUAAAAAACACUAAAAAGAAACAUGAAUGCAACCCACAACCAAUUUUGAGCAUUAUCAACUUACUCUAAUUUCUCCAACUUUUACAGUCACAAAUAGUAUACUAGCAUGUUUGUGUGUCUUGUUUAGGCUGCUGACGCUAUUGUAGUUGUUUUUUGGUACGUGAAAUCAAGCCCAAUAAUUCCUGCACACAUUUGAAGGGCAUUGAAAUAGAAAUAUGGGCUACCCCUAUAGUAAAAAAAAUGUUACAAUGAUGUUAAAGAAAAUGCACAUUUGAAUAAAGUAAAAAGAAGUAUACACAACUCCUUCAAACAUCACGUCCACAAUUCUAGAGUCUAGGUAUAUAGGAAAAUGCCUACUCUUACUGUCUUUUACUUUUUUAGGCAUGUUUGAAAAACAUAAUCAGUUAUUAAUGUGUUUUGAUAAGUUUUGUUUUGUAUGAUAUGAUUACUUUUUUGUGAUGGGAUUCUCGGUUAUAUUUUUUCAUUUUUUUAGAAUUUUUUGGAUGCUCACAAAGUCUACUGUGAAAAAAUUUAGAAUUAUGCUUGAUUUGAAUAUGCAUGAUAAAGACUACAAUCGUGAAACUAAAUAUGGAAUUCAUUGUGUUGUGGCUACUUCCAAGCUUGUGUCUUUCAGUUUAAGAAAACUUAAACAAAAAUGCAUAUCUGAACUUUGUUCCAGGCCUACAAAUGUUGUUUAGGUUUGACAGAUUAUAUAUUUUUGGUUUGACAGAUUUUGUAUUUACACUCAGCAUAAAAAGAAAUAUAUAUUUUUUAUUUCUGUUCAAUGCGUGUUUGAUGUACUGAGGAAAUAUUUUGAAGAAAUUUGAUUUGGUUAGAAUGAAUGGUUUAUAUACUUUGCCAUUUAAAUGUAUAAUUCCAUAGUUCCCAAAACUCUGAAACCAUCUACUAUGUUAUUAUUUUUCUUUUAGUUUUUAUUGAAUGUAUUCAUCAACACCUGAUUAAAACAAAAGAAAAAGUAAAAAAAAUAUAAAUUUAUAUAAUAUAUGAUAUAAUAGGAAUAUAUAUAUAUAUAUAUAUAUAUAUAUAUAUAUUGUUUUUUAUUUUAUUAAAUAGAAGCAGUAUUCAUUAUCGAGGAUUUUGGAAACAGACUUAUCGAAUUUCGAAGUUGAAUAAUUUUAUAUAAUUAUAUUUUAAUUAUAAAUAGUUCAUUAUUGAGAAUCUAUAAUCCUACAUCAUUGAAUACAAACCUACAUUUGUGCAGGUGCAUUGGGAAUGAAUUUCUGACGUUUCCCUAGUUUAUUUUUAUUGGCAAAUAUGUUUUAAAGUUAAAAUUAAAAAAUUAGAGAAAUAAAGAAAGAAGUUAGCUGUAAAUUUAAUUUCUUGUGAUUCUAAAAUAAAAUAGUUAAAUCAGUGUAUACGAUCAAGAGAAACGAAAAGAAAAGUAAGAAUAAUGUAGAUGGUUUCAGAGAGUUUUGGAGACUAUGAAAUCAUACAUUUAAAUGGCAAAGUAUAUAAACCAUUCUUUCUAGUCAAAUUAUUUCUUUAAUAUAUCAAACAUGCAUUGGACCAAAGUCAAGAAAUUAUUUCUUUUCUUACGAAGCGUAAAUACGGAAUCUUGUCAAACCAGAAAUAUAAUGUGAAUAAUGAAUUAAUGAGUAAUAGUUAAUGAGCAAAAGCGGAUCUAAGGAACAUUUGUAGGCAUGGAACAAAGCUUAGAUAUUCAUUUUUGCUUAAGUUUUCUUAAACUGAUCAAAGACACAGGCUUGGAAGUAGCCACAACACAAUGGAUUACAUACUUGAUUUCACGAUUGUAGUGUGAAGAAAAGUUACUAAAAAUAAUUUUGAUCUAGAUGUACAUUAUGGACCAAACACAGUCAAAUGAACCAGUUGGCCUAAAGCCAUAAAUGGAUAAUUAUGAUUCUGUUUAAUAAGGUAAUUAUUCAGAGAUAAAUAAAAAGAAAAAUAAAGUGCUUGCACGUGGAGUGAUAAAGUACAUUAGUCACGGGCUCGUUGCAGAGAUGAGACUGUGUUGGUUUUCUAUUUGUUUUCAUUGUUUUCUUAAAUUUGUUCCCACUGCCCUAUAGUUGGAUGUUGGACAGAACUUUUAAAGGGAAAGUAAUUUUUCUGAGGAGACAGCUAAUGGUUUCAUUCAAACAUUUGAAGGCAGCAAUAAAAUAAGAGAUGUUUGUAACAUUAAUCAUUUAUCGAUCAGUCAAAUAAAUAACACUAUCAUGUUUGAUUCCUUUCGCUUUACACAAGAAAGCGUUGGGAAUUUAUUUAAUGCGACACUUUUCAUGAUUAAACAAACACUAAUUAAAGCGACAGAAUAACGAGAAGUUAACCAUCCAUGCACGUACUUGAAUCGCACCCACGAUCAAUGAAAUUUGGAAAACAAGACAACAGAAAGGCACAGGUAGCACCAACUUGGGCAUGAUUAGGAACAUUGGAAAUUACGUGGGGGUUGUAUAGAGCAAACGUUGAGAAGCAAGGAGAGUGAGAUGGGAAGGUUGAGAUUGAUACCCAAAAUGUUUGCUCGAAGGGCAGUGCAGAGACAUACUGCAGCCUCAAGAUCAACCAGACCAUUGAGGAGGCUACAGCAAGGGGUAACUGGUGGUUGACCCAAGGUGACGUUCACCAACCCGUUUAGCACAUUGGCACACACUCCUAGUUUAAGUGCAUCACGGGGGCAUGUGGUCCCAGAACCUCCAGAACCACCAGAGCCACCUGAACCACCAGAUCCACCGGAACCACCGGAGCCACCUGAACCACCCGAACCACCUGAGCCACCGGAACCUCCCGAGCCACCUGAACCACCUGAAGGACUUGGUUUGACAGGCUUAUGCUUUGGCCUGGGCUUUGGCCCAGGGCAAGUCCCACAAGCAGAGACAAGGGCAAAGAAGAGGAUGUUGAAUGUGAAGAAAAGAGCAAGGGAAGAGGUAGUUUUGGAAGCCAUCUGAAACUGUAGUAGUUCCUGAUAUUGAUGAAUCGCAAACACUACUUCGCUACAAAAGAGAAGAGUGUUUGUGGGGAUGUGAGUUAUUGGCAGUGAAUGGUGGUUUAUAUAGCGUUUUGGAGUGCAAGUAGGUUAAAUUGUUUCAUAACAAAUCACCCAAGUAAUGAUUAUUAAAAUAGUUAAAUGGGUUUAAGAGAAGGGUUUUAGCUGGCAGAAAAACAACCUUGAAUUAGGUUUUUUAUGGAUACUUGUGAGGUGAUGUUGUGGGUCUCAAAUUCAACGGCGG
rnacentral:lncRNA from 1 species